GGUGACAUGGCCUAGCGGUUACGGGGGCUCGGUGCCGACCACCGGCCGGGGUGAACUUGGUGACCGAGAGGUCAUCAGUUCGAACCGGACCUGGUACCG